rnacentral:rRNA from 1 species
CCUACGGGAGGCAGCAGUGAGGAAUAUUGGUCAAUGGGCGGAAGCCUGAACCAGCCAAGUAGCGUGCGGGAUGAAGGCCCUACGGGUCGUAAACCGCUUUUGCACGGGGAUAACACCCUCCACUUGUGGAGGUCUGCAGGUACCGUGCGAAUAAGGGCCGGCUAAUUCCGUGCCAGCAGCCGCGGUAAUACGGAAGGCCCGAGCGUUAUCCGGAUUCAUUGGGCUUAAAGGGAGCGUAGGCGGGCGUUCAAGUCAGCUGUAAAAUCGCGCGGCUCAACCGCGCCCCGCAGUUGAAACUGGACGCAUUGAGUGCACAACAGGCAGGCGGAAUUCGUGGUGUAGCGGUGAAAUGCAUAGAUAUCACGAGGAACCCCGAUUGCGAAGGCAGCCUGCCGGGGUGCGACUGACGCUGAGGCUCGAAGGUGCGGGUAUCAAACAGGAUUAGAUACCCCAGUAGUC